rnacentral:lncRNA from 1 species
AAAAAUCUGCUGGAGCCAAGAACCCAAGCCGUCAGACUCCCUUCCGUAAGAAAAGGUAUUUUUCUUUUCAAUUUUUGUAUGCAUCUCUUGAACCACAUUUUAGAAGAAAAAAAUUUUAAUCCUUUUCCAUACCUUCCAAAAUCAAUCUAUUGUUUUUUUUUUAUCAUCAACCUCGCGGCCCACGCUAAGGUCCUCCUCGAGCGUGGACCACGAAGAAGAGCCCAUGGACCGCGGAAAAUUAUUUUAUGGGAAAUUAU